rnacentral:rRNA from 1 species
UCUGGUGACAAUGGCGGAGGGGAUCCACUCGUUCCCAUCCCGAACACGACCGUUAAGCCCUCCAGCGCCGAUGGUACUUGGGGCGAAGGCCCCCGGGAGAGUAGGACGUUGCCAGGC